GAAACUAAAAGGAUUUGGCGGCAAUUCGAUCUUUCAGAGGAAUUUGUCUUUUAAUCGAUAUNCCUCGUGGAAUUACCUAGUUUUGUUUAGCUUAUAUAUCGUUGUUUUUAGGAAUGUAUNNAUAGAUNNAUUUUCUUAAUUUAUAAUUAUAAUAAUUCAGAUCAAGGUUUAGUUUAUGGUUAGGUUAGGGUGAAUUACAAUAAUUUUAUUUAUUACGGAAAGGUUGUUUAAGGAUUUAGGAAGGUGGAUUUGAGAGUAAAUUUUUAAGGAAAUAUUUUUUGAAGGUGAGUCCAAUNU
rnacentral:rRNA from 1 species